rnacentral:rRNA from 1 species
GUCCUAGCCGUAAACGAUGGACACUGAGUGGAGGAGGGCUUGCCCUUCUCUGCUGCAGCUAACGCGUUAAGUGUCCCGCCUGGGGAGUACGGCCGCAAGGUUAAAACUCAAAGGAAUUGACGGGGGCUCGCACAAGCGGUGGAGCAUGUGGUUCAAUUCGAUGCAACGCGAAGAACCUUACCCGGGCUUGAAGUGUGGGUGGUAGAAACCGGAACGGUAACGACCCCCGCAAGGGGAGCCUACAUCAGGUGUUGCAUGGCUGUCGU